UACGUAGGGUGCAAGCGUUAAUCGGAAUUACUGGGCGUAAAGCGUGCGCAGGCGGUUGUGCAAGACAGAUGUGAAAUCCCCCGGGCUUAACCUGGGAAUUGCAUUUGUGACUGCACGGCUAGAGUGUGUCAGAGGGGGGGUAGAAUUCCACGUGUAGCAGUGAAAUGCGUAGAGAUGUGGAGGAACACCGAUGGCGAAGGCAGCCCCCCUGGGUCAAGAUUGACGCUCAUGCACGAAAGCGUGGGGAGCAAACAGG
rnacentral:rRNA from 1 species